rnacentral:rRNA from 1 species
UACGAAGGGGGCUAGCGUUGUUCGGAAUUACUGGGCGUAAAGGGCGUGCAGGCGGUUUGUUAAGUGCAGGGUGAAAGCUCCCGGCUCAACUGGGAGAGGUCCUUGCAUACUGGCAAACUCGAGGGAGGCAGAGGAAAGUGGAAUUCCCGGUGUAGUGGUGAUAUGCGUAGAUAUCGGGAGGAACACCUGUGGCGAAGGCGGCUUUCUGGGCCUUACCUGACGCUGAGACGCGAAAGCGUGGGGAGCGAACCGG